rnacentral:rRNA from 1 species
UUGAAACACUGGUUCUCGUACAAUCACCGAAGUUAAGCAAUGUCGAGCCUGGUCAUUACCUAGAUGGGUGACCACUUGAGAAUAGCAGGUGCUGUAA